UCGUCUCGCCGUCCACGCAGCUGCCUGCCUGACUUCUGCGCCGACGUGUCCCCAGCCUUUGGAACGCCGCGUGCCAUGCCGCUGCUAUGCUGCCGUCGCUGCGUGCCUCUUCGUGGCCGCCGCUCGCGUUGAAUCUCUUUCGCUCUCGUUUGUUUUUCUUGCUUUUCGUCGUCUCCGUCUUUGCUCUUCUCUGUCGCCUAUAUCGUUGAGGUUGGAAUUGCUUUCUGCUCUUUGCGAUUUGCUGCGUUCCGCCGCGUUGCGCCGGCCUCCACCAUGCGGCACCUCCUCCGGGAGCCGGCGGUUUUCAGACGAAGCGGCUCACCGGUGACAGUGCCAGCUCCGGUAUCACGACGCAGCCGGCGGGGCCGUUCAGCUGCCAAAACAUAAACACAUCGCUCCUCUCCUCGUGGCUGCCUUCCUCGCAGCGCACCGCUCCUCUCAGCCCCGUAUGCAGCGGCGCCGUCCAACCUUGCCACCUCGGUGCCUCCGCUCCGACGGUUUGUCGUCUUUCCCGGCACCCGCCAAGCCCGAGCCACCUCUCCCUUAAUGAUCAACGUUCUCGCCUCGCACGUUUUCUGCUUGGUAUGGGACCCUUGCGCUAGCCAACAGCUGAUGUAGCAUCGCAGCUCACCGGCGGGGUUAUGCUGCAUCACAGAGGCAAAGCUUACUGGCAGGGAUGGCUCACCGGAGAAGGCGGGGCUACGCUACGGCAAUGCAGCUCACGAAUGGGGACAGCACGUCUCACUGCCAAGGCAUGCGAUGCAGCUGCUGCAUCCUAUCCAAUUCUAUCACCCGUUGCUUUCAAGUGGCUCGUCCUGUUAUCUAUUGGAGAUGCACACCAUGUGCUUGAUGAUUUGCUUAUGAGAUGUGGCCUUGUGCCAUGCCAUGGAGCCACACAAUUUGUUUGAUGGUUUGCCUCUGCAAUACUGGCCAGCCAAAUACGGAUGCUCAGGUUUCUGCAAAAAUAAGAAUGAAAUUGACUACAACUGCAGCUGACAAGGAGUCCUACUUGAUGAAGAGGCAUCAGGCUACAUGCCUUGCCUAAGGUAACAAUGAUAGCUCAAGAACAUGAAUUUUAUUUAUGAAGCAGUAACUUUAGCAAUAUGAAAGUACCUUGGACAUGAUGCUCCUAUAUAUGUCGAUUAGAAGUACUGCAUAUAGAUUAUUCUAAACUGCUUACCUAUAGCUAUUUCAAUCACACUACAUCAUCUGAUCGAACUUAUAUACUUUUACAAUUUUCUCCCCACGCCACACUAUAUGUUCAUGACCUGUCUCUUUUCAUUUGAAAAUCGAAAGUAAAUAUGUAUAUAGUUAAUACUCUAUUUUGUUGGCUCAAAAUAUAGUGCAAGAGUAUAUAUACUCGGCCUCUUUGCUUCUUUUGAGUUGGCCCAAGAAUAUCUUUCUUUUAUUUUAUUUUAUUUUAUUUGUGACGGAUUAUUAGUUCAACAAACCAGGUCCCUGUAGGGGCAGUGCUUUUGUUUUAUGCAUAUAUAUUCUACCUUUUUCAUUUGUAAGAUACGAUUUUGCUUUAUGAAAAGCUACUGUAUAUGGAGUUCAGCAAAAAGGAAAACAGAAUAGGUACAUUUGAAGACCCUACUUGCUAUGCUCAUCCUUUGUCUUCGAUGUUCAGAAAUGAAGCGGAGGUAGAGGAGUUUGAGUGUGUUCAAGUUCAGAACUCCAGAUGCUAUUUGAAUGCUUGAGACUGGCAACAGAUCAAACCAUAUAACCAACCAUCUUUCCUUCGCCUUUUGGUGUAUGAUUAGAAAAGCUGGCCACAAGUGAAGAUGUUCUAAUGUGUGUGUUUCUAGGAUGAUUGUUUGUUCCCCCAUAAACAGCAAGCAAGGAAAAGGGAAAGAAAACAGAGGAACAAAUAGCCUCAACAUUUAGACGUGAUUCAAAGAAAGAUACCAUGCAAAGAUAUCAUUUGGCAGGAAUAACUUUUGUAGCAGUUUAGAAAUACCAGGUAGCUAUGAGAUGCAUCACAAAGCAUAUCUUUUUUUUCUACUGCUCUUGGACCUCUGAAAUAUCAAUUGAGAAUGUUUUCUUUUGAUAAUCAAACAAUCCAUUGGCA